ACCAUGAAAAGGCAAAAUCGCUGAAAAGUGAUGACGCAAAGCUAAAGGGGCUAAAGCAUAAUUAACUAUGCCAGGGCCAGCCAGCUGCCGGU
rnacentral:ncRNA from 1 species